UGUGAGGGAGAGGAAGCCAGCGAAAGGCAUUCUGGGCCUCAUAGGUCAAGUUAUAAAAGUUUCCAUGAAAUCUCUGCUGGUGUCUGGGACAUAUUCAGCCAAGGCCUUUCUUUAGCUGGGAGGGUGCAAAUACCAGGUCCAGCCCAGAGUGAAAACAGCUGUGCGUCUCUCAUGCGCCCCCUUGCCCCCGUGUCUCUGUUAACUCAUCUGCACGUCGUUCAAUGACAAUUAUGCUUUCUGGUUCCUCACCUAUUCAAACCCUCAGACUGUAAUGGCAAAUACAUCUCCACAGUGGCAACUAAAUGCUGAUUUUUGUUCUGCAGAAAUCAUGGCGCUUUGAGUCAUGAAGCUGGGGGUGUGAGGUUUGCUUGGGCAGAUCUCCUAGUGUAGGCCAGGAGUGGGUCAGAAACCUGCCUUAGAAAGAACACGGUCUUCAGAUGCUACAGGGCAGUGUGGUGACCAGUAGAAACUCCACACUUAUUGAGUGGCAAAUGGUACAGGAGAUGAAACUAUAGUCACUAGAGAAACUGAACCGAGGAUGGAUGAGAGCUCCAACCAGGACACACAAGAGGAUGACCAGCUGAGGUUAAGUGACACUGAGUGGCUCCAAUCCUCAAGGUUGUAUUCGUUUCUCCUCUAGUAGUAGGAGAUAUUGAUCAAAUCUCAGGACCAUUUCUUUAAAGGGGAACUUGAUUUGUUCACCUGCCAUGAGAUGCCCCAAGAAGCCCCAAUACAGCCACCUGCUGCUGUGUGAUUAUUUCCACAGCCUGAGACUCUCACCAGAGGCCAUUAGCUAGUUCUGGCCCCGAAUUCUUCUUCUUCUAGCCAGACUGGUUGCACAGGAUCUUGAGCUCUCCUUGGUGUCCACAAAUUGAUAAAUUGGUAUUUUGUUCUGUUUUUCUCUUUUCUUAAGAAGUUGCUUUCUUGUGAAAAGAUGGAUGUUGUUGUAGCCUCUCCAUCCCCCAACCUCAGUCUUCCACGUGUUCUCAAAAAUAAUAGCUAAGUGUGUUGCAACAACA